AUGCAGGGGUUAUGUAGUCGAAGUAGAGGUUCUCCUCGACGUCCUGAUUCCUUCAGGGCGCCACCGGCACUGCCCAGGGACAGCGGCGGCGGCUGGCUUAGGUCUUCCCGUCGCUGCAGCACUCCCCUUGAUCGGAUGGGCCGUCAGAUCAAAACCAACACUCAUCAGGCAGCAACAGCAGCAACAGCUCAGGGAAUAACACAGCAGUACAAAUAUAGAGCACUACAGCAAGAAUUCAAGAGCUGGCAGUGCAGGGAGAGAGGGGUCAAGAGCUAUGCAAGCUGCUGCUGGCACACCACCACCACAGAGACGGCCGUGCACCACCACCACCACCUCCCCCCUACACUCCGGCGACAUGGAGAAGGUGCAGGUGUUCCCUGCGGUGUCUCCUCUCUCUCCAUAGUUGCCAUGGAUGCCUGGAAAGAAUUUAAGAACAGGAAGACUAGUUCGUCAAAACAUCCCCAUGCGGGAUCUACUUUUGAAGAGCACGUCGCAAGGGUUUCAACGGUCAAGGAGAAUAACUACGCAAGGAUCUGCGAGCAGAAAAGCAUGCUCACCGUGAACGGCCAGUUCCCCGGCCCGACGAUCACCGCGUGGAAAGGGGAGGUCUUCACUGUCAACGUCUACAACCAGGGCAAUAAACCCAUCACCAUCCACUGGCUAAUUGCGGUUAUGGCGUCCGCUCUCAAACGUGGACCAACCACGAAACCCCUGGCACGACGGCCCAGAGUUCAUAACGCAGUGUCCCAUCAAACUCGGUGCCAACUUCACGUGCACCUCGUCCUAUCGGAAGAGGAGGGUGCACUCUGCUGGCAUCCGCACACCGAGUUUCAUCGUGCUAGUGUCCAUGGCGCCAUUAACAUCCACCCCAAGCACGGCACUGACUACCCCUUCAAGAAGCCGCACAAGGACAUACCCAUCAUCCUUGGUGAGUGGUGGAAAGCCAACGUGAGUCAUAUUUUGGAGGAGGCCCUACAUACUGGCAGUGGCAUUAAUAUCUCCGAUGCGACAACUAUUAAUGGCCAACCUGGAGACCUAUUUCCGUGCUCCGAGGAGAACACUUUCAAAGUAUCCAUGAAGAGCGGCAAGACGUACCUGCUACGGAUCAUCAACGCCGGACUCACCAACGAUCUUUUCUUCGGCGUCGCCGAGCACUUCUCACUAUUCUACUACAUGGCCUCGCGGACAAUUGCAUCAAGAACCAACUUGGUGUACAACAACAGCACUGCCACGGCCAUCCUGGAAUACAUGGAUGCGCCGCCCAUUGCACGAUCGGAACCAUACUUCCCCAACCUUCCAGCAAGCGACAACAUAACUGCAGCCACAGAGUACACAUCCCAGCUCCGGUCCCUAGCUUAA
rnacentral:rRNA from 1 species